rnacentral:rRNA from 1 species
GAUGAACGCUGGCGGCGUGCCUAAUACAUGCAAGUCGAGCGAACAGACGAGGAGCUUGCUCCUCUGACGUUAGCGGCGGACGGGUGAGUAACACGUGGAUAACCUACCUAUAAGACUGGGAUAACUUCGGGAAACCGGAGCUAAUACCGGAUAAUAUAUUGAACCGCAUGGUUCAAUAGUGAAAGACGGUUUUGCUGUCACUUAUAGAUGGAUCCGCGCCGCAUUAGCUAGUUGGUAAGGUAACGGCUUACCAAGGCGACGAUGCGUAGCCGACCUGAGAGGGUGAUCGGCCACACUGGAACUGAGACACGGUCCAGACUCAUACGGGAGGCAGCAGUAGGGAAUCUUCCGCAAUGGGCGAAAGCCUGACGGAGCAACGCCGCGUGAGUGAUGAAGGUCUUCGGAUCGUAAAACUCUGUUAUUAGGGAAGAACAAAUGUGUAAGUAACUAUGCACGUCUUGACGGUACCUAAUCAGAAAGACACGACUAACUACGUG